rnacentral:lncRNA from 10 species
GCCGCGCUGUGCGAGGCCCAGACUGAGGGCGAAACAGCAGGCAGGACUGGGUGGAGACGUUCGGGGACGUGGCAACUGGAGUUUCUUCUCCGUAUAUUUCGGCAUUCAGUUCCUUUUUUUUUUUGUUUUAACUCAGGAAAAAAUCUCAAUUGCGUUUAGUAUUUUGAAAGCCACUUUAUUGCUUCCCGAGCCUCAGUCAUGUGUGGUGGGAGGCUGCUGUGGGUGGCACCUGGGGCGUCCACGGCCGCCAAGGCGGGAGGACGUCAGGCCCUGCUUGCUCCCACCCCUUCCAGGUGAGAGCUCCCGGGCACGCCCGUCGUUGGCUCUUCGUCCUCUUGGUGUUCUUCCCUGUUGCUUCAAAUCAGGUUCCUGUCUCAAAAAUCCGAAAAAGAAAUCCUCCCAAAUGACUCUGUGCCCGACGCUCCGUUAAGGCAUCGUGCUAGGCGUUCUCAAACUCGUGAAAUGACUACACUGCACAGGAAGACCAAACAGAGACAGAGUUCUGGUUAAAUCACACAAGUCCCUGGCAUGAGACCAAGAAGUCACAGAGCCCAGGUCUUAGCCCUCAGAGUGUGAGAGAAGACAUGAAGGCAUCAGGGACACUGUGCGAGUGGGCACUGCUGCUUUCCACUGCUCUCCCUAGACUGCAGCCAGGAGGCUGCCUCUGCCCUGCCAGGCGCACACACCAAGAAAGGCCAUGUGGGCACACAGCAAGAUGGUGCCUGUCUGCAAACUAGGAAAAGAGCCCUCACCAGGAACUGAAACAGCUGGCACCUUGAUGUUGGACUUUCCAGCCUCCACAACUGUGAGAGGUAAGUUUCUGUUGUUUAAACCACCUAGUCUAUGAUAUUUUGUUAUGGCAGCCCAAGCAAACACCAACAUUUGCCAAUUUUGAUUUAUUUUUUACAUAUAUGAUGUAAAAAGUAAUCUUUACAAAGUAUCAUAUGUCUCAUUAUUUCAUGCAGAAAUUGGUGACCAAAUCAAGGGGAAAAAUAAAGAGAUCCCAAAUAAUACAUGCAAAUUAAAUGGUUUCUUUAUA